UGAGAGGAAGGAGGUGCAGUGGCAGCCUCUGGCCUGGUCUUCUGUGGCUGUGCUUGGUACCUUGCUUAAACUUCGCAUCUCCUCAGUUUCCCCGGGCACCGAGUUCUGUGGAUGCUGACAAAGACAGGGUCUUGCUAUAUUGUCCCAGAUGAUCUCAAAAUCCUGCACUCAAGCGAUGUAUGAGGUUAAAAAGUAUGGGGAAAAGAAAAAGAGCUUUUAAAAAGUUAUUUGAAAAACUAGCAUGAGGCCCGAGCAGCCGUGUUGGUCAGAAAGAGUAAACAAAGCGAGUCUGGCUUCCCCCUCUCAUACCUGAGAGGAAUUCAGACUGCCUUCCGGUCUCUGCUUAUAAAUCCUUGUGGAAGCUGGGUGUGGUUUCCCACACAUGUAACCCCAGACCUCUGGAGGCUGAGGCAGGAGGUUCGCUGAGAGUUUGAAGCCAGCCUGGGCUCCAUAAUGAGUUCAAGGCCAGUCUGAACUGCAUAGAAAGACCCUGUCUCGGAAAAACAGAACAACGACAAGAACACGACUUGUGUAUCUCUAGAGCGGAGGAAGGUGAGGCCGUCCCUUCUGCAUCUCUGUACAGAGGAGACAGAACUCAGAGCAGGGAAGGAGCUGGCGCAGGGCUACACAGCAUCAGGACUGGCCGGAAGGGGCCCGGUGCGGUGCUCCCCAGGGUCCGGCUAUGUAAUUCAGGCUGGCUUUGAACUCACUG